UACGGGGGGGGCAAGCGUUGUUCGGAAUUACUGGGCGUAAAGGGCUCGUAGGCGGCCAACUAAGUCAGACGUGAAAUCCCUCGGCUUAACCGGGGAACUGCGUCUGAUACUGGAUGGCUUGAGAUUGGGAGAGGGAUGCGGAAUUCCAGGUGUAGCGGUGAAAUGCGUAGAUAUCUGGAGGAACACCGGUGGCGAAGGCGGCAUCCUGGACCAACGCUGACGCUGAUGAGCGAAAGCCAGGGGAGCAAACGGG
rnacentral:rRNA from 1 species